rnacentral:rRNA from 1 species
UACGUAGGGGGCUAGCGUUAAUCGGAAUUACUGGGCGUAAAGCGUGCGCAGGCGGUCGUGCAAGACAGAUGUGAAAUCCCCGGGCUCAACCUGGGAACUGCAUUUGUGACUGCACGGCUGGAGUGCGGCAGAGGGGGAUGGAAUUCCGCGUGUAGCAGUGAAAUGCGUAGAUAUGCGGAGGAACACCGAUGGCGAAGGCAAUCCCCUGGGCCUGCACUGACGCUCAUGCACGAAAGCGUGGGGAGCAAACAGG